UUUUUCAUCAAUCGUGAAUAUUGUCACAUAGGCGCCGUUCCGUUCGUUACAUCCACUUCCCGAAGUUAGGCGCUAAUCCCAGAGAUCUAUCAACUUUACGAAAGAAAUCAUCGAUAACCACACGGUGCCCACGAGGGAAUUCCACCGCCAAGAUUCUCGAUUCUGGUAGCUAACACCACCCCUGGGUCGACCGGAAUGUUGGACACCGGUUUUGGUUCGAGAUUCGCGAUGGGACCAUCUACAUUGGACAGAUACGAGUUGGGACUCGUCGUCGAGUUCGGGAGCUCCGCUUCGACGUCGUCGGCCAGUCCACCACCACGGAGAUGCCGGCUAAGCUACCUAUAGUGUAGAAGUGGUAGAACCAAACCAGGAAGUAUCCGCCUUUGACCCGCUUCGAAGAACUCCGGAAACAAAAACAAGUGAAAAAUGAGCCUUUUAAAAAUUGGCAAUUGUCUCAAAAGAGAAGCACACAAGUGAUAAAGUUGUUGUUUUUUUGUGUGAAUGAUUUUGUGUCCAAUAAAAUGUGAAAAAUCU